UACGGGGGGAGCAAGCGUUGUUCGGAUUUACUGGGCGUAAAGGGCGCGUAGGCGGCGUGACAAGUCACUUGUGAAAUCUCCGGGCUUAACUCGGAACGGUCAAGUGAUACUGUCGUGCUAGAGUACAGAAGGGGCAACUGGAAUUCUCGGUGUAGCGGUGAAAUUCGUAGAUAUCAAGCGGAACACCGGUGGCGAAGGCGGCCUUCUGGACAGUGACUGACGCUGAGACGCGAAAGCGUGGGGAGCAAACAGG
rnacentral:rRNA from 1 species